GGAAAGGGGAAAGGUGGAGGUUUCCUAUAUUGUCAAGAUUGGCAAGUGAUAUACUCGCUAUUCCAGUUACAACCGUGGCGUCCGAAUCUACUUUCAGUGCUGGUGGUAGAAUAAUCGAUGAUAGGCGUGCUUCUAUGUCCGUUGAAACGGUUCAAAUGCUACUUUGUGGGAAUGAUUGGAUCCGCAAUCUUCAUGGGUUAAAAAACAAGUCUCGUGAACCACUCGAUGUUUCCGAAUCAUCUACAAUUGAAGAAAUUGAUCUUCCGGACAUUUGAAGGCUGUUUUCUGGAAUAUGUGAUGCUGUUUCUUGUGAUUUGUAAAGCUGGACUUGUGAAGCUGUGCUUUUUCUUGUGAUUUCUGAAGGGGUUGUACUUUUUCUUGUCAGGUGUUUGAAGUUGGACAAUUUUUAAGCUAUGUAGCAGUGUUUUACAUGGUUAUUUAGUUGUAGUUUGUGCGUUUAUUUGGCUGGACAAAACCUGUUAUGGUAUAUUGGCUCUUAUGAAUGUUGUCUCAUAUGGAAUUAGACUGUAGUUUGUGUAUUUGUUGACUGCAGUCCCUGGAGUUUGUGUUGUAUGGAUCAUGGAUGUUAUGGUCUUAUUUGUCUUGGAUGAAAUGUGGUUAGAGUUUGUGUAUUGUUGAAUGUGAAUGGCAUUGGUUGCCAAUCCUAAUAUUUUUUGUUGA